GUUUGGGGCUGGGGGCGGGGACGCUGCGCGCACCGAGCAGGGCGCGGGCGGCGGGGCGGGGCGGGGCGACCCGGGAAUCUCUGUACCCGCCGCGCGAGCGGGGAGCCCAGGCCGGGGAAAAGGCAGGAAGCGCCGACUUCAGACGCCUCCCGCAGACGAGCAACGCAGUGUGGCCACGGGCCCCCGCUCCCAGGUCGGCGCCGACCACGGAGGGCGAGCAGACGGGGCGCAGCGGCUGCUUCUAGGCUCCAGGAAGGGGAGCGGAGCCGCCCGGACGGCCCGUCACCUGCUCCGACCGCCGCUGCAGAGGGCUCUCCCCACCAAGGGACUGGGGCCGCGGCCCGGAACGGGACCUGCGAGUUUCGGCCGCCGCCUGCCAAGAUUUGGAGCCACGAACAUGCUCCCCAGAAUCAAGCGAAGAAUUUGUUAAACCGGGUUUCCCACCUGCGCCCCCAUCCCAGCGAAGAACGCUCGAUUCUAGGGACGCCAGCCGCCCGAGCACAGCCACCCCACGUUCCCAGGCGGGCACAUUGUUAAGAUCAGCGGGCCUUCGUACAAACAUCUUGACUGUGGCUGGAGUAUGCAAGACAUUGCUCUCCAAUCUGAGUGAAAUUCCAGCUGUGGCCCUGGAAGCCAUGUGGAGAUGUGGGUGCAUUCCUUCAGCUACAGGCACAGAAGCCAGUUCACUUGGCCACUGAAGGUCCUGUUUCCGUGUGAUGUGGAGCCUGAUGAAUAUGUGGCCUCCCCUCUAGGAAUACGCCUGGGCUGCCUUUGCACACACUUACUUCAGCUGGCCUUGAACUCAAAGAUAAUCGCUUCUGUAACAAGCGAAUCACAGCCUCUCCUCCCUGUGCAAACAAGAGAACUAGCUAGUUUCCAUUAGGUUCUGGUCACCAGCAACGGAAGAAAGUCCUGACGCUACAGCU
rnacentral:lncRNA from 1 species